rnacentral:lncRNA from 10 species
CUAGGCUGGUCUCAAACUCCUGACCUCAAGUGAUCCGCCCACCUCCGCCUCCUAAAGUGCUGGGAUUACAGGUGUGAACUACCACGCCCAGCCCCCCAGCUCAUUCUUAGCUAACUAGUGUGUGUGAAAAAGAGACAGUGUUAAAAUAUAUAUGGUUUAAACUGAUAAGGAAAUGAUCAGUUAUUGAGCUUAUCCAUGAUUGCUAAUUCAGGUAGAGAUGGCUUAUAAGUAAGUGUUCGGGGCUGCUUACGGGAAGAAAAAAUGAAAGUUAGGGAUUUCCUUUGGAUGCUGGGAAACAAAACUCCAACUGGGUUCUGACAAACAUACCAUGUGCAUUGUCCUGUGGAGACAUGACAAUGUAAACCCAUAAACAAAUCGAUUACGUUUUGGUGACAACUAUUGUGAAGAGAAUGGCCAUAGUAUUUGCUGCUUCUCCUUUUAAUAGGUAGCAUCUCUCCUCUUACUCCCUUGAAUCUGAGAUAGCCUUAUGAAGUGAUAUUGUGCCAGUUCUGAGACUAGGCCUCAAGAAGCCUCGAAGCUUCCAAUCUUGCACUUUUUUGUUUGUUUUGAUACAGGUGCUUGUUCUGUUGCCCAGCCUAGAGUGCAGUGGCACAAUCAUGGCUCACUACAGCCUCAAUCUCAUGGGCUCAAGCAAUCCUCCCAUCUCAGCCUCCCAAAUAGCUGGGACUACAGGCAUGCAGCACCACCCCACCCUCCCCACCCCCAGCUAAUUUUUUAAAAUUUUUUUGUAGAAGACCAGGUGUGAGUCAUCAUGCCCAGCCCCAAUCUCAUACUCUUGAAAUCCUAAAGCCAUGUGAAGAAUCCAGGCCUAGCUUGCUGGAUGAUGAGAGACACAGUCCCCCUAAUGCCCCAGGUGACAGUCACUCAAUACCAGACAUAUGAGUGACACCAUCUAGGACUAGCCAGCCUCAACAACCCAACUAGUGACCUCAGCUGCAUGGGCAAGUCCAGCCAAGAUAAGCUGAGCUGGAUCCAGACUAUAAGAAUUACCUGGAAGAACGCAAACUAAUGAAAGAUUGUUGUUUUAAGCCAAUGAGCUUUGGGGUGAUUUGUUAAUUGGCAAUAGAUAACUGAUAUUCAAGGAUUCAUCCAAAGUUCCCUUAAAAGAUAGAACCCAUUAAGUCAUUUUAAACACUUAUAAGCAAGUUAUUAAAUCCUUAAAAGAAACUGAAAGUUUCUAAGGUAUACUGGGUUGGAAAAAGGAAAAGAAAAAGAAACUAAAAGUGAAGGCUGAAACUGACAAGUAAGGAGUUAUUUCUCCCUGCAAAUGUAAUCAGAAAAUAAGGUGGAGUGUCUCUGAAUGCAUAACUGGAACAAGGAAACAAUCUAAUGGUUUUAGUAGUAAAUAUAUGAUUUCAGGGGCACAUCCAGUGGAAUGAUGGAGUCAGUGCACAACAACUUGUAAGACCCAGUCAUGGAAACUGGCAAACAUUACAAGUUAGAACCAGUUGUUAAAUCUUCAUUAGUACAUCACUGGACACAUCUAUUGCUAAAGGCACAUUGGUUGGUUCUGCCACAAUCUGUGAUCUUGGGCAAGUCAAUUAGUGUCUUUGGAUCUGUUUCCAAAUCAGUCCCCAAAAAUCAUCUUUAAGAUGUCUUUCAGCUUUACGAUUCUAUCUUCUAUGCUCUUAUGGUAAUUACACCUGGAUGCAGCAAUUGAAAAGUCCAAUGGGAUCAAUCCAAAUUGCCACACUUAACCAUGUUACUGACUACAUAUAUUACUCAUCAAGACAAUUAUUCAAGUAAGUGGCAUAAUAGUAAUCCAAUGUACUUUGCAUUAUGAGUGAAGAAGAGACUAAUUUUGACUAGAGGGGAAAGAAGGGAUGGUCAUAGCAAGAUACUUUGUCAAUCAGGAAUGAGGGCUAUCUUUGAACCCACAGUGGCUUGAACUCUAUAGGUGCUUAAUAAAAUUUGCCGAAAAGAUUACAUGCUUAGAGACAACAUUAUAAAGAAAAGACAUUCUUGGCCGGGCGUGGUGGCUCAUGCCUGUAAUCCCAGCACUUCAGGAGGCGAAAGCAGGUGGAUCACCUGAGGUCAGGAGUUUGAGACCAGCCUGACCAACAUGGAGAAACCCCAUCUCUACUAAAUACAAAAAAUUAGCCGGACAUGGUGUUGCAUGCCUAUAGUCCCAGCUACUUGGGAAGCUGAGGCAGGAGAAUCGCUUGAACCCGGGAGGUGGAGGUUGCAGUGAGCUGAGAAUGUGCCACUACACUCCAGCCAAGGCAACAAGAGCAAGACUCUGUCCCAAAAAAAAAAAAAAAAAAAAAAGAGACAUUCUUGCUGAAUUGAAGACUCAGAAGAGGCUGGGCACAGUGGCUCACCCUUGUAAUCCCAGUAUUUUGGGGGGCCAAGGUGGGCAGAUCACCUGAGGUCAGGAGUUCAAGACCAGCCUGGCCAACGUGGUGAAACCCCAUCUCUACUGAAAAUACAAAAAAUCAGCCAGGCAUGCUGGUGCACGCUCAUAAUCCCAGCUACUCGGGAGGCUGAGGCAGGAGAAUUGCUUGAGCCUAUGAGGCGGAGGUUGCAGUGGGCUGAGAUCAUGCCACUGGCCACUGUACUGCACUCCAGCCUGGGUGACAAAAGUGAAACUCCAUCUCAAAAAAAAAAAAAAAAAAAAGACUCAGAAGUAAUCAUAAGGUUCUACUUGCUAUUCUCACAUGUAAUUGUGAGACUCUGCCUCCAUUUCUCCAUCUAAAAACAGGAGCUCAUUUACAAGCAACAUGACAAGAAUUCAAGCAGUCAUGGCUGUGAAGCAUUUCUGCAGAAGGAUAUGCUAUGUAAGUAUGAGGUUGUUACUAAAUCAAAAUGAAUGCCUUUGUGCAAAACUAGAAAGCACAUUACAUAUUGUUCCUGAGUAUUCCUUCCCAGUGCAUUCAAAAUAUUCUCACAUUCACAAGGUUAAACAGCACAUUAAAAAAUAGUAGGAGGCUGAUGGCUGAGCUCAAUUGGGAGUAUCUUUCUUUGGUGUUAGAAUGUUUGAAAAUUAUUUUGGGAAGACUAUGAGCAAGUUAUUUUGAACUUCUGGGGAAAAAAAAAAAUCUGAAGAAGCAUUCCCUUUGCCUAAAAGCAAAGGAGACAUUUAUUUAUGCCUUUAGCAAAUAAAAUAGUUUGCUUACUACCAGUGUUUGUGGGCUGAUAUUCAACUCAUCUUCUGGAAAUUUUAAAAAUACACAUUGAAACUGAAAAAGUAUUCUUUGAGUAAGGGUUUACCUGAAGUGCCCAGAACCAUCCAAAAUGAUGGCACAUUAUAUCUUUUUUUCUUAAAAAUUUUUGGAAUCUAAUUGAAGAUGCCUCUUAGAAUAUGUGGAAACCACACGUGCUAUCUUGCAUAUCACUAUCAUUUCAGUUCUAAUGUUAUUAGGUGUUUAGCUACAGGCAAGUAGAAUUAGGGCAUGAUGUGACAGACUGUAAUGAGUUGCUGAGAAACUACAUACUCUAUCCCCAGGAAAACACAUAUUCUCAAAAUUCUACACAAUUUCAGGAAUUUCAUAGAUGCCCCUACCCCAAAUCCCAUUCAUGAAAUCCUUAGCUUAAAAUCCUGUGCACUAGAGCAAUGUAUUUUAUAAAACCAUAUUCAGAUGCCUGUGAAGCAAUGAAUGUGCUAGGCAAUGUUAGGCGGUAGAAACAGUGAUACACGUAGUCAGACAGGGUACCUAGAAGUCAUGGAGCUUAUAGGCUAGUAGGGGAUAUGGACAUUUACCAAAUAAUCACACAAAAAGAUGCCUAAUUACAAACUCUGAUUAAGUGCUAUGGAGAGAUAUACAGUGUUGCACGUAACAACAGAAUCUAAAGAAGUUACAUUUUAGGGGGCAUAUAAACAAUGUUGUGCAGGGGAGGUAGAAGAAACACAUUAUGGUAAAGGGCUGCAAAGGAAAUAAGCCCAUAAUAAGGCCUCUUAUAGGUUUAAGCUAGGACCUGAAACUUGUAUACUUUAUAUGCUUUGAAAUGAGACAUACAUUAAAGUGGCUGAUCAAAUUAAAACAUUUUCCAGUCUUUGCCUACUAAAUUGAUAAAGAUUUUUUAAAAUUUUAAUAGAACUAAAGAGAAAAUAUUUCUAUAUACUGAUGUUAGGAGUAUGCAGUUUAGGCCAGGCAUGGAGGCUCACACCUAUAAUCCCACCCAGCACUUUGGGAGGCCAAGGUGUGUGGACACUUGAGGUCAGGAGUUCGAGACCAGCCUGACCAACAUGGUGAAACCCUGUCUCUACUAAAAAUGCAAAAUUACCUGAGUAUGGUGGUGCACACUUGUAAUCCCAACUACUUAAGGAGGCUGAGGCAGGAGAAUCACUUGAACCCGGGAGGUGGAGGCUGCAGUGAGCCAAGAUCGCGCCAUUGCAUUCCAGCUUGGGCAGAGCAAACCUCCAUCUCCAAAACCCAAAAAGUAUACAGUUUAAACCACUGACUUUAAAAAUGUACAUAAACAUGGAUGCCGGACAUGGUGAUUCAACGAUUGCACUUACAGAAACAAAUCUAAGAAAACAGUAAUGAUCUUGCCAGCUUCUGAUGAGAUUAUAAGAAAAAAAAAAGAAGAAAUAAAUUUAAAAAAAAAAUAAAAAAAGAAAAUGGUAAUAAUCCACCAGGAUGUUAAUAACAGCAUUAUUCACAAGAUGGAACAGAAACAAUGAUUUUGUCUAACAGCAGGGAGUUAAUUAAAUUAUGACAAGCCAGAUUAUAGAAUAAUAUGCACCCAUUAAAUCAGAGUACUUAAUGAUACGGAAAAAAUUCCUAUUAAGUGAAAAAAGCAUUACAAAACAGCAUAUAUUAUGAGCUCUAUUUUUAUUUUUGAAAUAUAUUUAUGCAGAGAAAUACAAAAUGUUAACAAUAUUAUCUUAAA